rnacentral:lncRNA from 1 species
UUUCCUUCUCUAGUACAUGACAACUCUUUUUUUCUUCUUCUUUUUUUCUUUUCCUCUAAACAUAAUGACACACAAAUAAGAAUACUAACUAAAAUAUGACUCUCAUUUGUUUUCUGUGGAAGUUUUUUUUUUCUUACAAACAAAAUUGAAUAAAACUAUGGAUAUGAAUCCAAGAUGAAUCUGGAAAUUGUAUACGUAUGUAUCUG